CAGCAGCCGCGGGAAUACGGAAGGUCCGGGCGUUAUCCGGAUUUAUUGGGUUUAAAGGGAGCGUAGGCCGCCCCUUAAGCGUGUUGUGAAAUGCGGGUGCUCAACAUCCGACUUGCAGCGCGAACUGGGGGGCUUGAGUGCGCCGAAAGUAGGCGGAAUUCGUGGUGUAGCGGUGAAAUGCUUAGAUAUCACGAAGAACUCCGAUUGCGAAGGCAGCUUACUGUAGCGCAACUGACGCUGAUGCUCGAAAGCGUGGGUAUCGAACAGGAUUAGAUACCCCCGUAGUCCCUGUCUCUUAUAC
rnacentral:rRNA from 1 species